rnacentral:rRNA from 1 species
UACAGAGGGUGCUAGCGUUGUUCGGAAUCAUUGGGCGUAAAGGGCGUGUAGGCGGUUUGUUAAGUCAUGUGUGAAAGCCCCCGGCUCAACUGGGGAGGGUCAUUCGAUACUGAUCAACUUGAAGGCAGGAGAGAGAAGUGGAAUUCCCGGUGUAGUGGUGAAAUGCGUAGAUAUUGGGAAGAACACCUGAGGCGAAGGCGGGUUGCUGGGCUGAUACUGACGCUGAGGCGCGAAAGCCAGGGGAGCAAACGGG